UCCUGCGUAGUGUAGAGGUCAGCACACCAGCUUGUCACUCAGAAGAUGCCUUCGCUGGUAACCCCGGUUCGAAUCCGGGCGUGGGAG
rfam:Diaporthe ampelina DA_912_scaffold_v01_115, whole genome shotgun sequence.